rnacentral:rRNA from 1 species
AACGAACGCUGGCGGCAGGCUUAACACAUGCAAGUCGAGCGCAUCCUCCGGGGUGAUCGGCGGACGGGUGAGUAGCGCGUGGGAAGGUGCCCUCUUCUACGGAAUAGCCCCGGGACACGGAGAGUAAUGCCGUAUACGCCCGCAAAGGGAAAGAUUUAUCGGACGAGGAUCGGCCGGCGUGGGAUUAGGUAGUUGGUGGGGUAACGGCCUACCAAGCCGACGAUCCUUAGCUGGUUUGAGAGGAUGAUCAGCCACACUGCGACUGGGACCCGGCCCAGACUCCUACGGGAGGCAGCAAUGGGGAAUCGUGGACAACGGGGGGAACCCUGAGGCAGCCAGGCUGCGAGAUCGAUGAAGGCCGGAGGGAAGGAAAGAUCUUGCAGCUGGGAAGAUAAUGACGGUACCAGCAGAAAAAGCCCCGGCUAACUACGUG